rnacentral:rRNA from 1 species
AUACCCUGGUAGUCCACACGGUAAACGAUGAAUGCUAGGUGUAGGGGGUAUCGACCCCUUCUGUGCCGGAGUAAACACAAUAAGCAUUCCGCCUGGGGAGUACGGCCGCAAGGUUAAAACUCAAAGGAAUUGACGGGGGCCCGCACAAGCAGCGGAGCAUGUGGUUUAAUUCGACGCAACGCGAAGAACCUUACCAGGUCUUGACAUCCAGUAAAAUCUGUAGAAAUGCAGUGUGCCUUCGGGCGUACUGAGACAGGUGGUGCAUGGUUGUCGUCAGCUCGUGUCGUGAGAUGUUGGGUUAAGUCCCGCAACGAGCGCAACCCUUGUUGAUAGUUACUAACGCGUGAAGGCGAGGACUCUAUCAAGACUGCCGGGGACAACUCGGAGGAAGGUGGGGAUGACGUCAAAUCAUCAUGCCCCUUAUGACCUGGGCUACACACGUGCUACAAUGGCCGAUACAGAGAGGAGCAAACCCGCAAGGGGGAGCAGAUCUCAAAAAAGCGGUCACAGUUCGGAUUGUGGGCUGCAACCCGCCCACAUGAAGUAGGAGNGCUAGUAAUCGCGGAUCAGCAUGCCGCG